rnacentral:misc_RNA from 1 species
AAAAAGUCAAUGAGUGCACUUUAUUGUGGCUCAAACCUUUUAAUAUCUUUAACCCAUUAUAAACCCAAAACUGUCUUGUGUACUUUUACGAGUAUAGCAUUUCAGUAGUACGCAUCAUGAGCUUUAUUGUUCAAGUUGCAUUACCCCCCCUUAUAAGUGACCCCUUUAUUUUUUGAAAUCAUUAAACGUUUUAUGUAAAGUUUUAAGAAUGUAAACCAUGUGGAAUUAAGUAUAUAUAACUUUUAACAAUGGAACUCUUGGCUCU